UCCCAGGGACAGAAACCCUAGCCCAUUUCCCCCAAUCCCCACGCGAGCUUGGUCCUGGCCAAUGGCGGCGCCGGACCCCAAUCACCUCGCACGCUUCGUCCUCCCCAAUCCCCCUCCUUCCGCUCCACCAAUCGCUCAUGCUCUCCUCCCUCUUCGCGUCGGCAGCUCCGUGCUCUCUCCUACCACUCCAUGGCACAGCGUCCCCGUCCUUGUUCGUUGGUAUGCGGGAGGCGGAGGGACGGAGGAGGCAGGCAGUGCUCGUCCCUUGGCAACCAGAGCUGGUUGCGGAUGGAGGUGCAGCGGUGGGGCGGAGACCAGGAGCAGGCCUCAAGAGCAGCGCAGCCCACGACCAUGCGCCGUGCCCUCGCCAAUAGGACUGGUUGCUCUCCGACGGGAGAGCACAUCACGCUGCUCACCCCACUCUGCUUCUUCCUCAUCUCCUUGCUCAACGGGAGGAAAACGAGCAGCCGCCAAACCCCUACCAGAGUGAGACGAGUGAGGGAGAUGGAAAAGGAAAAAAACAAAGGGUCAGGGAGAUGGAAGAGGAUGCAAGAAAGAACUCAGAUCUACUCCAACAAGAGAAGCAUGGCCACUGCACCUUGUGAGCUUGUGCAUCCAGUUCUUGUUCGGGUGAUUGGCUGCUGAUAGUGAGGGAGAUUGGAAGGGGAAGAAGAAUUGAGUAUGUUACAAGGCCUUCUAAUUUCCAGAAAUUCUAUCCGUUUGCAUUCCGUUAUUUCCCCACAGUGUUCUAGGUACAAGAAACGAUUAAGAAAGAUGUAGAAGAGGAUGCAGAGCAAGGGAGUGUAAGGCACACAUUUUUUGUACCUAAUGACACUGGCGCUUUCUUCUACCUGAUGACAGUGAUGCUUUUGAUAUUUGUAUUGAGCAGAGGUGAAGAGGUCCUUGCAUUUAAUAAAGAUUCAGGUUUCUUCUUGCCUCUCCUAGUGAUGUCAGAGACAACAGUUCCGUACAUAAAUUAAUUUGUGCAUGUCAGAUUCUUUUGUUUAUACCUACAUGAUUGGGUUUGAUGGUUUGCUCUUUGCGGUGACUCCAAGUACACAAAAGCUCUUGGCGGUGACUCCAAGCACACAAUUGGAAAAUUGCAGGACUGGACUGGCUCAAAUAUUUUGGACACUGAAUAUUUUCCACUACAGAAAAUUCAGACAGUUAAGAUGCUCAUAUUAUAGCUACAAGAGAUGUAAAACACAUUGGCCUUGACCUGGAGCUUACGUGGAUGUGUCAUUUAGGAUGCUUCGUUGCUCGUGGGAGUGUAAUACGCUUCAGAGUCUUGAUGAGGUAAUAACACGACUCUAAACUUGUGUAUGGAUGCAGCAUCAUGAGCUUACUGCUCGAGCACAGCCAUGGAUUGCGCCUUCAUCUGCGGCUCUGCGUUUGUGGCAUGGCUCAACGCCCACUCCUCCACUAAAGAUGCAGGUAAGCAAUGGUUACCUGUUAUUUUUUGCAGCUUUGUUUUUAGCUUUUAUUAUCUUUUAUUGAACAGUUACGUGUAUCAAGAUAGCCUCUCAUUGGAUAGUAAGGCAUGUCAGCCUAUUUGAGUUGACUAAGGAUGGCACACCUAAGCAUGUUUAUUAUGUACCUGUCUUUUUUCGUUCAUUCACAUGUUAUAACAUCUCACUUAAUGCAGUUUUGACAUCUGUUAAUAUUUUAUCUGCUAAUUCUUUUACGUAAACUCACUGGUUCGCCCAGGUGUUAUGGCUGAAUGUACUUCUUGUAUUGAAGAUGAUAAAUCUCUAUAUAUCAUGUAAGGUUAUCGAAUACUAAUCUUAUAAAACAAGGUUAUUUUGAGAGACACUGUUAUUUAAUGCAAACAACAAAGCUAACAAGGUGGUAACCCAUAAAUUAUGUGCUUAAAACAAGAUAAACGUAACUUAGAGUAUGGAGAGCAUUAUGCAUUGUCUAGGACGUAUAAAGGGAAGUGAAUGGUGUGUAUUUUAGUUUUUUUACACUGAAUAGAGAUUGGUACCCUAGGUUAAUUUUAUGGGGACUGGGGCUGGAUCCUGGAUAUAUGGAAGGAUCUGAGGCUGGGCAAAUUGCGCUGAUUAUUAGGCAGGCAUGUGAAUUUCCUGAACUUGAAUGCUUCAAUCCUACUGGCCAGCCAUAUAUGACAGUUUUGUUAGUAGUUUCUUAUUUCCAUGGCAUACAUUUGUUACUUCUUUCCUCUAAAAACAGUUGCUUCUUUAAGUCUUUGGUGUUCUUUGGUUAACUGAUAUUUUCCUUCAAAAAAUAGUUAUACUGAUGUUCUUUCCACGUUGGUUUAUCUACACCUCUAUGCUGUUCUUACGUAUGCAUUGUUCAUAAAAUAAAAUGGACAAUGGGAAAGCCUAGAAUUGAAGGAUUCCUCUAUUGAUAGCUGUGAUGAAUGUCUUAGUUUGUCUUAGAGGAAGUCAGACAAUAAUCUGAGAGGAUCACCAAUUGUUGUCCAUCCUGGAAAGUGUAAUCCUGUAAAUUUUGCAUUAUGGAAAAUGCUUAUACUUUGCCUGUGAACUUUGGCAUAAUUUUAAAUAUAUAAUGAGCAUAAUUAUUAUCCUUCUCGAUCGUUUGUUCAGCCGGUGAAGCAGAGCAGCUAUUACUCUAUACUGUAAAUUGGGCUAACCGCCUCAUUUCCUGUGAACUUUGGCAUAAUUUUAAAUAUAUAACGAGAAUAAUUAUUAACCUUUCCAAUCGUUUGUUCAGCCGGUGAAACAGAGCAGCUAUUACUCUAUACUGUAAAUGGGGCUAGCAGCCUCAGUUGUAAGGACAUCUCUGCAAGCCCUAUUUUACAACGCUGGAUCUAGGCUAGAAGCAAUCCAUACAAUUCAUUUGGACUGGUUUCACAAUCAGGCCAAUAGAAAGUCUACUUGGCUACUUGCAAAGGAGAAAAAUAAAGACCUUUCAAAGGAUGCCGUUGGGCUAGACAUAUAACUGUAUUGAGAGAAUUAACAUAUAACUGUACAAAGAGAAUUAUUUCCUAACUAUUGCCAUGGUGGCGACUUUUCAGCUCUAUUAUUUUCCUUCAUGUAUUAUUUUAAUUUAUUUUGUUUUGCUUUGACCAGUGGGAAGUACAACAAUGCAAUAUUGUGUACACGGAGAAAGAGCAUCCGUCCUUGAUGGCAAAGCACUCAUGGUAUGUGCUUUAUUUUUACUAUUGUUCUGUUAAUAAUAGAACUCUAGAUUUAUCUCAAUUUAAAAUUAUCCAGCCUAGCUAGGGCCUCAAGUAACAACCUUUAGAUAUAGGAUUUUCACUUUUUUGUUUAUUUGUUAGGAUUAACAGGUCUAUGUUUUUAUAGCAAUAGGAACAUGAUUAGUUAAGGAUAAAGAAUCCUAGGAAUUGUACAGGCUGAAUUUGUAUUGCAGGUUGGAUCUGAAAAAAUAGUUCCUUUAAGAGGGUGAUAAUGGUUUCUGCAUCCUUACUGUGCUUCAUGUCCUUCGUAUGAAAAAGAUACGGUCUCUGCCUUGCAUCAUCAUUUUUCUCAGAGUUUACGUAUUCGCUAUCCUUCAUUAAGGUGUUUUGAAUCAAUAGAAAUGGUGGACCCUAUGUCCUUUGUCCUCCUUGAUGCCAACCCCCAGUGGUGUAUUUUUUAUGUCUAAGAUUUCUAUAUGGUUAUUUUCUUGUUCAUAGGUAGGCUCACACGUCCCCUUUUUAUUUCUACUUUACCAUUGGGAUUAUCUACUCAUAGGUCCCCUCUUUAUUUCUACUUUACCCUUGCGAUUAUCUACAAGGACUAAGAAGUGAUGAUUUCUUGCCUUAUGACUAAUGAUAUGUAUCAAGGGUGCAGUUCAAGUGUCAGAAAGCUGAGGUACAAGGUUGAGCCGAGAGAAUUUGAUUCAAUUAUAUUUGCAGACGUUUGACUGUAGAUAUUUAGUUUUCUACCUCCUACAACAGUCAAUGAAGUGCAGAGAUGCUUUUGGGAAUUAGACUCAACUACUGCUAUAUCAUGUUAGGCUCUGUGUUGUCAGUUUGUCACUCUGUAUUGUUGCAAUCAAUGUCCUAAAUGGCACCCUAAGUCUUGCGCACCUUUAUGUUACAUCUGAUGGCUGUGAGCCGCUCACUUAGUAAUAAGCCAUGACCUCUAUGUGCUAAAUUUCUGCUUUCUUUUGGUGGUUUUGAUUUAGUUAUAUGAGCGCAUACAGAAAAUCUCAAUGGAUUGAUUUCCUGCUUCAGAAGAAAUUAACUGUUUGACUUAGUUAUAUGAGAGCAUACAGAAAAUCUCAAUGGAUUGCACUGCCUGCUUUUGUGAAUUUGAAGUUUGAAAGUUUGAAUUACUCAGACCACAAAUUCCAGGUAUCUUUUCUCCCCAGGAUCUUCUGAAAAUAAAAUUAAUGCAUGACUGUUCUCAAUAAAUUUUAAACUAUAAUCUAUUCAAAGAUUUUAUCUAUUUGCUUAGAAAAUUGGAAUGGCCCUUCUGGUUGCUCCUUGAUGAUGCAGGCCUGACUUUAUGAAGACAAUCGCGUCUGGAAGAAUAGUUGUCCUGGCUUGAAGACCCGCAAAAGGAUAGAUUGAUUGUACCAUUGUCAAUCAGGAGAUUUUGCCCGUGUCUGUCAUUCUUCAACAGUCAAAGUUUUCUGAUGCAUAAAUAAAUUUGGAUUGAGAAACUGGUAAUCCCAUGUAAACCUAUCAUGGGAUGAUUCAUGUAUAUAUUUAGAAAUUGCAUACUAGAGGAAGGCUGCAGGGGGGUGUAUUUUGGCACGACUUUCUUGCCAAUACGGCUAGGGUAAAUUCUACAGGGAGACAUAGGAGGAAAUGUGUGCUAGAAAAUUGUGUCAGAGAUAAAAACGUUCUCCAUCAAAUUGGAAACAUCAUAGUUAUUUUCUUUAACUCAGAAAUAAGAAUUUUGAGUUAACUGAUAUAAUUAACUGGGGCAUGUAGAUAAAAUAUGCCUUUUCCUACUCAUUAAAGAGGAACAUACCUUUUAGCAGAA